GGGGGCGUUCCGGUCUCGACAUGGCUGUUGCAACCGAGAAAGCGGGUGGAGGAUUCUCGUUGUGCCUCCUUAAAAAACGGGAACUUGCAAGUAAUUGCAGACAAUACACAGCUCGUAGCAGCUUAAGCUACCUGCCCGGUCACUCUAUCUGCGGAUGACCGGGGUGGUCCUUAGCAGACCUUUGCCGAAGGAGGUCAGUCGGCAGGAGGAUCCGGCAAAGCUUUGAGCCGGUGACGCCUUAAAUCCAUGAAGCUACCGGAACCGACGCCCGUCGACGGGCUACGCGGGAAUGGGAAUGAUCCAUCCGUCGACUGCACCCGGAGAUGUCUCGGUGAAUACGGUUGUGGACAGGAGUUCGACUCUCCUCGCCUCCACCA
rnacentral:tmRNA from 1 species